rnacentral:rRNA from 1 species
UACGUAGGGGGCAAGCGUUGUCCGGAAUCAUGGUGCGUAAAGCGUGCGCAGGCGGUUUGCUAAGACAGGUGUGAAAUCCCCGGGCUUAACCUGGGAACUGCAUCCGAUACUGGAUGGCUUGAAUUCGGGAGAGGGAUGCAGAAUUCCAGGUGUAGCGGUGAAAUGCGUAGAUAUCUGGAGGAAUACCGGUGGCGAAGGCGGCAUCCUGGACCGAGAUUGACGCUGAUGAGCGAAAGCUAGGGGAGCAAACGGG